rnacentral:rRNA from 1 species
ACUCCUACGGGAGGCAGCAGUGGGGAAUAUUGGGCAAUGGAGGAAACUCUGACCCAGCGACGCCGCGUGCGGGAUGAAGGCCUUCGGGUUGUAAACCGCUUUCAGUAGGGAAGAAGCGAAAGUGACGGUACCUACAGAAGAAGCACCGGCUAACUAUGUGCCAGCAGCCGCGGUAAUAC